rnacentral:rRNA from 1 species
CACGUAGGCGGCUUUUCAAGUCAGGGGUGAAAUCCCGGGGCUCAACCCCGGAACUGCCCUUGAAACUGGAUCGCUAGAAUACUGGAGAGGCAAGUGGAAUUCCGAGCGUAGAGGUGAAAUUCGUAGAUAUUCGGAAGAACACCAGUGGCGAAGGCGACUUGCUGGACAGUGAUUGACGCUGAGGUGCGAAAGCGUGGGGAGCAAACA